rnacentral:tRNA from 1 species
AGGGGUGUAGUUCCAGCAGCCAGAACGCAUGGUCCGGGACCAUGAGGCCGUCGGUGCAAAUCCGACCACCCCUA